CUCUGAAAAAACCUGUUUGAGUGUUACAGUGGGACUCCACACCAGUCUCACCUCCUUCUUCUUUUCCUUUCAUAUUCUUCAGAUWUUUGUCCUCAGUGGCUCACCUGGAAAAGAAACCAGGCACCAGACCUUAAGAUGAAAGCCUUGCUAGGUAUCACACAAAACUUCUGAUAUGGACAGCCAACUUUACAUUUUAAAAAAGCAACCAACAUGCUCUCACUGUGGGAGACUGGAGGCCAGCUGUUCUUUCUACUUCAAGAUUAGAGAGUGUCCUUACAUGUCUUCUGGAUUUGGCUAGCAUACGUAAGGAACAGAGUUAUCCUAAUUCAGAAUCCAAAGCUUUGCCCACAAGAUUUUACCCAAAGAGAAGUCACAUUUGCAGGCCACAAUAGAUCAAAUGAGUUUGAAAGAACUAAAGAACCAAUAAUGACCCUCAGUCAAAGUUUAUUUUUCAGUAUUAAGCUUCCUACAAAGAUUUACAAAACAUCCAGCCUCCCCAUAGAAUAAAAAUAAAUUCAUAAAGCA
rnacentral:lncRNA from 1 species